rnacentral:rRNA from 1 species
UACGUAGGGAGCAAGCGUUGUCCGGAAUUAUUGGGCGUAAAGAGCGUGUAGGCGGCCAGAUAAGUCCGCUGUGAAAUCUCGAGGCUCAACUUCGAGCUGUCGGUGGAAACUAUCUGGCUAGAGUCCGGAAGAGGAGAAUGGAAUUCCUGGUGUAGCGGUGAAAUGCGCAGAUAUCAGGAAGAACACCCGUGGCGAAGGCGGUUCUCUGGGACGGUACUGACGCUGAGACGCGAAAGCGUGGGGAGCAAACAGG